rnacentral:tRNA from 1 species
GGGGUUGUGGCUCAUUGGUAGAGUGCUUGCCUCACAUGUAUGAGGCACUGGGUUCAAUCCUCAGCACCA